GGUGGUGUGGUGUAGUGGUUAGCGUUGUUGGCUUCCACGCACUAUGCUGAGGUUCGAAUCUCACCAUCGUCA